UUUAAUAUAAAAACAACAGUGUAUGUAUAUUCAUAAACUUCCCUUUCUUGUGUACUUUCUCUUUCUUCUGUACUUGGCUUUUUGUUUUCUGUACACUGCUCAGAAAUACACUGUUCUGUACCUUGGUACAUAGUGGAUAGAGAUCACUCCAUGUCAGCCUGGAGAGCUCAUCCUCACUUUUUUUUUUUAACAGCUUAUGGACUCCUUGAGUGGAUGAUUUAUUUAACCAGUCCCCUCCUGAUGAACACUGGGUUGUUUCAAGAGCAUUUGCUGUUACAAAUAAUGUGGAGCAGUCAUAAUCUUUGCAUGUGAGUACGUGCACACUUCCCCUGGCCACAUCUGGGAGACUCCUGGAGAGUGCUGUGAUGACUCAGACCCACUUCUGAGAACAUGGCCCGGUGAAGACUGAGUGGAGGCGAUGCAGGCUUAUAAGCAUCACUGAGGAUGGCAGAUGGAACUCGUCACUGGAACUCAGGAGAGAGAAGAGAUAAUGGAGAACUGCUGGGGGAGAAGCUCUCCAUAACAAGAAGGUAAACAACUGUGUGGUUUCUGAGGGAGUGCUGAGCUUAGACAAACAUCUACCUCAAUUUUUAGCAGCUUUCUGCAGGAAAGAAGAACCCAGGGCCAGAGGCAGUAAAAGGAUGGGCUGCCCUGAGAAGGACUGAGGACUCAAGGAAGAAAAAACACAGUUAAAAUGAUGAAAAAAAAAAAAACGAUAUCGAUAAGGAAGAAACAGGGAAACGUGUAAAGAAAUAAGAAUAGCUGAAUACAUGGCUGUGUCUAAAAAUCUCAUAUUUUAUAUGUUUACUGAAAAGUGAGAUGACAUGACUCCCUCUUCUCUCCCCUCUUGAAAUAUCAGUAGUCCAAUAAAAGUCCAUACAGAAGUACUAAAUGUAUUAGUAAUGAAAUUCUUUUAAAAAUGCAUGCAAAGGGACGCCUGGGUGGCUCAGUGGGUUAAGCAGCUGCCUACAG